CCUACGGGGGGCUGCAGUGGGGAAUAUUGGGCAAUGGAGGCAACUCUGACCCAGCAACGCCGCGUGAAUGAUGAAGGUCUUCGGAUUGUAAAGUUCUUUUCUAAGGGAAGAAGAAAGUGACGGUACCUUAGGAAUAAGCCUCGGCUAACUACGUGCCAGCAGCCGCGGUAAUACGUAGGAGGCAAGCGUUAUCCGGAAUGACUGGGCGUAAAGGGUGCGUAGGUGGUUUGACAAGGUAGUAGCGCAACUCCGGGGCUCAACUUCGGAACUACUACUAAAACUGGUGGACUUGAGUGCAGGAGAGGUAAGCGGAAUUCCAGGUGUAGCGGUGAAAUGCGUAGAUAUUAGGAGGAACACCAGAGGCGAAGGCAGAUUGCUAGACUGUAACUGACGCUGAGGGACGAAAGCGUGGGGAGCAAACAGGAGUAGAUACCCGGGUAGUC
rnacentral:rRNA from 1 species